UGGGCAUUUUGGAGAUUUGCUGGGAUUUGGAAAACCACAGCACAAUCCACCCCGGCAACGUGGUGCACAGGUGAGACCACACAGCUGACUGGGAGCUGCCCAACUUCCCACCAGAGUAUCACACCCCACAGCACCAGCCAGGAAGAGAUCAAAAUGUAAAAUUUGACACGCAGUUUCUGCUGAAUGCAUCUCACUUGCAUACCAUGGUAAAGGUGAAAAACUGUAAGCCAAGUCAUCUUAAGUUGGGAGCCAUUCUCUUUCCCCCAUUUUGGGCCACAUAUGCACAUAUCCAGCUGAAGCGAAGCCACAGUAACAGAUGAGCCCUGGAAUCUCAGAGCUUUGACACAAUACGUUCAUUUCUCACUUGUGCAAAGCCUGGAUGUCACUGGCCUUGUGUCUGGCAAGCAAGAGGGACAUGGAGGAAGUAUAUCGGCACUCAACUGCCACAGGCCCAAGUGACACACAGCACUCCACCCAUCAGCUGUUAUCUGAGAUGAGUCCCAUGACCCCAACCACCAGUAAAGAAAGCCAAGGAAUGUAGAGAAGUGUGUGGGUAUUUGGAGAACAUUAAUGUUUUUCUACCACAGACAAAGACCCAUAAUGGAACGCAAAGUAAUUUUAGAUGGUACGCUAGAUAAUUUUUGGUAAAGAUGGAUAGAGUGUUAAAUAACAUUGAGUCACAUACUGAAAAAGCUAUCCUCAGGUCACUGACUUCAGAAGCCUCGUAGUAAUGAGGAAGUCUCAGCCUGGUGAUAAUGUCUCUAACACCUCCCAGACAUGCUGGCAUUGCUCAUCAACUUUAUCAAUGAAUGAAGAGCUGGCCUCAGAUCCAGAGCUCUCACGAGAGAUAAAGAGUAUCUUGCUAAGUUUGCAAAACACUAUUUGUUCAGACACUGUUUUCAAUAUUACCUCCAAUUUGUGGCAGGUGAUGAUACCAGUUUUAUAUGUAGAAUGCUAGAGUUUUCUUUUAAAUACAGUUUUUUAAAACUUGAGUCUACUUUGAGAGACCUAUUAAUAAUAGAAACCUUAAAUGUGUUCCGAAGGCAUGUGUGUUGAAGGCUGGGUUCCAGGGUCAUGGCACUACUGGGAAGUGUAAGAGCCUGUAAAAGGUGGGGCCCAGUGGCAGGAAGUUAGAUAACUUGGAGGGAGUGCUGGGACCUGGGCCCACUUCUCUCUUCCCUUAUUCUUCCUCCUCCCCUCUCCCUCCGCCUCCCUUUCUCUCUGCUUCUUGGCUGCCAGGAGGAGACCAGCUUCCCUCUCCACAUGCUCCCAGCAUGAUCCACUGCCCUACCACAGUACUGAAAGCAACACAACCAACUAUUCUUGGACUAAAGCCUCCAAAACUAUGAUUUAAAAUAAAGCUUUCCUCCUUUGAAGUUCAUUGUCUCAGGGGCUGUAUGAUUAGAAACAAACACAGUGAAUGCAGUUGCCAAGCACUGUCCACCAGAAAGAUAGCAUGGACAUUGAGGCAGCCAUGACAGGACAACUAAAGACACACCUGAAAGAGGACUUCCAGAGCUACUUCAGAAAGUGGCAAGAACAAUGGGAUAA
ensembl:lncRNA